rnacentral:rRNA from 1 species
UACGUAGGUGGCAAGCGUUGUCCGGAGUUAUUGGGCGUAAAGCGCGCGCAGGCGGUGCGGUAAGUCUCUGGUGAAGGCGCUCGGCUUAACUGGGCGAGGGCCGGGGAGACUGCCACGCUGGAGGGGAGCAGAGGCGAGUGGAAUUCCGGGUGUAGUGGUGAAAUGCGUAGAGAUCCGGAGGAACACCAGUGGCGAAGGCGGCUCGCUGGGCUCUACCUGACGCUGAGGCGCGAAAGCGUGGGGAGCGAACCGG